rnacentral:rRNA from 1 species
CGUCCCGCCGGCGACCGGCGCACGGGUGAGUAACACGUAUGCAACCUGGCCGCCACAGGGGGAUAACCCGCGGAAACGCGGCCUAAUACCCCGUGACGCCACCGGAGGGCAUCCUCCGGUGGCCAAAGGAGCGAUCCGGUGGCGGAUGGGCAUGCGGCGCAUUAGCUAGACGGCGGGGUGACGGCCCACCGUGGCGACGAUGCGUAGGGGUUCUGAGGGGAAGGCCCCCCACACUGGGACUGAGACACGGCCCAGACUCCUACGGAAGGCAGCAG